CUUGGCACGCGCCUGCCUUCACCCCGGACCGCCGCCGGGACCGCCCCCAGAGUGCGCGGGGGACGCUACGGCCUCCCAGGCACUGGCUGAGCCACCUCGGCCGAUCACCAGCCUCCGGCUGCACCAUCAUAAAUCCCAAUCCCGGAGACUGCGCACGGGGCACCCUGUAAACCCGCACCCGCUGUAAACGCGGGGCGGGGGGGCGACAGAACGGAGAACCAAACAGGCAUGGUGUCCACCUUCCGCGGAGCUGACAGUCCGGGGUAAACACACAAAACCUGUAUCGCUAACCGCAGUACCAAAGACGGGCAAAGGAAGUGUCCCAAGGCCUCUCUCCAAGGAUGAGCGUGCAAAGACCCAGAGGCCGGACAGAGAGCUGAGAGGGGGCUGCUGCAGAGGCCUCCACGGGACAGAGUGGCGCCGCGUGGACAGGCUCUGGGCAAGGACCUUGUAUCCCCUGGUAUACCCCUGGAAUGAGGAGGGUUCUGAUCUAUGCGACCUAGAAGACGUUGGUGCCUAG
rnacentral:lncRNA from 1 species